CGUAGGGUGCGAGCGUUGUCCGGAAUUAUUGGGCGUAAAGAGCUUGUAGGCGGUUUGUCGCGUCUGCCGUGAAAAUCCGGGGCUCAACCCCGGACUUGCGGUGGGUACGGGCAGACUAGAGUGUGGUAGGGGAGACUGGAAUUCCUGGUGUAGCGGUGAAAUGCGCAGAUAUCAGGAGGAACACCGAUGGCGAAGGCAGGUCUCUGGGCCACUACUGACGCUGAGAAGCGAAAGCGUGGGGAGCGAACAGGAUUAGAUACCCUGGUAGUCCACGCCGUAAACGUUGGGAACUAGGUGUGGGUCUCAUUCCACGAGAUCUGUGCCGCAGCUAACGCAUUAAGUUCCCCGCCUGGGGAGUACGGCCGCAAGGCUA
rnacentral:rRNA from 1 species